rnacentral:lncRNA from 1 species
CAAUAAAUGGCGUUCCCUUCUGCAAAGGGACAAAUACUCAGUCCUACUAGGAGACUUGUGCAUUCAGAAGGCAGCUAUCCUCCACAGGCCCUUGGGUUCCUGGAGGCAAUGACCUGACUGAAAUUGCCUCUGCCUUCCUCCAUCCAGCGCAUGCAAGCAGAUGGAAACAGCAGCUGCCAAGCACACCACACCUCCCAGCCUGCAAUAACAAUCACACAUCACCUCACCUCUGGCCCACAGUCAACAUCAGGACCAACACAGUCCCUGAGAAUUGAAGACUUGAUUAUGACCAUGCAUCAUGAGGUGCAGCUAUGUUCUGCUUAGACGAUUCUUCCCACAGAGCAAGGAAGAAAGAAAAACAACAAGAGGAAGGGUAAGGGUGCCCUUAUGGUGCAGAAUUAUCUGAUCCAUACUCCAUCUUCUGAGCUUCCUUUUCCUUUAUGAGCUUUACACUCAUAACUGGGGCAAUUUUGACAUGCAUGCCUCUUGCAAUCAAUCAGCCAACCACUCAGCCGAGGAGCAUCCACCAUGUUAAUAAUCCCCAGUGAUUACCAGGGGGCCAGUCACAGAGCGAACCAUGAGGUUGACUCAGUUUGAUUUACUUCAUUACCUUCUUCAGCCCAGAUGUUCGGAGAUGCACAAGUUUUUGUGCCAAAGAAUAGCCCGUUUGCAACAAGCAGCCGUUAGGUGCUAAUAUCCCUUUGCCCCAGGUUUGGCAAUGUGAGCCAUGCUUACACAGG